UCACUGCACCCCCUCCAACCCCCCGUCCUGCAGGAUGAGACUCUGUGCGACACCGAGGACCUGCGAAAGGAGCUGGAACGUCUGAUGGAAGAAUACGAGAAGGCCGCACAGCAGAAGAUCCUCCUGCAGCAGGGACGACAAGAUGUCGCUGAGGAUGUCGAUGCUGUGACAGCAGAGUGUUUGGCUCUGAGGGAGCAAGUGGCUAUCUACGAGGAGCAGCUGGCCAACAUGGAGGACCAACACACCACGGCAGUGGAGCGUCUGAUGGGACCAGCUGAAGGGACCACGGGAGCAACGGCUGCCUUUCCAUUGGGCGGCCCUGACAUCACGCCGGCCCUGGACGUAAAGGAGUACUACUGCCAGCUGGCUGAGAGCCUCCAGCACGAGUGCGGCGCCGCCUCCUCUGCUGUGGGUCGCCGUGGCGACGGAGAGCAACGAGAAGAGGGCGUAGCUGCAGGGUCGACCGUCAAAGGCGCGUCAGCGACAAAGGACGUCUGUGAGAUAAAGACGCUGAUUUCAGAGCUCCAAAAGGCGCUCGCUGAGCUGGAGCGGCGUAACGAGGAGCUGGAGGACGAGGUCGAGAUGAAGGCGGCUGCAUACGCGGACGAGCUUGCGGAGUUGGAGUGGACCGUAGAUGAAGUGCAGCGCCAAGAGGCCGACUUCCAAGUGCAGAUGAAGCAGCAGUGUGAAGACUACAAGGAGCUGUUCAGUGAGAAGAUGGCCAGAGACAUGGAAAUUACUGCCUACAGGAGUCUGGUGGCCGAAGAGGAGGAGAGGCUGUGCAACCUGUGA
ensembl:lncRNA